rnacentral:rRNA from 1 species
CCUACGGGUGGCAGCAGUGAGGAAUAUUGGUCAAUGGGCGCUAGCCUGAACCAGCCAAGUAGCGUGAAUGAUGACUGCCCUAUGGGUUGUAAAUUUCUUUUGUAUGGUAAUAAAGUGCAGUAUGUAUACUUCUUUUCAUGUACCUUAUGAAUAAGGAUCGGCUAACUCCGUGCCAUCAGCCGCGGUACUACGGGGGAUGCGAGCGUUGACCGGAUUUAUUGGGUUUAAAGGGAGCGUCGGCGGGUGGUUAAGUCAGUUGUGCAAGUUUGCGGCUCAACCGUAAAAUUGCAGUUGAUAAUGGCAUCCUUGAGGACAGUAGGGGUAGGCAGAAUUCGUGGUGUAGCGGUGAAAUGCUUAGAUAUCACGAAGAACUCCGAAUGCGAAGGCAGCCUGCUGGACUGUAACUGACGCUGAUGCUCGAAAGCGUGGGUAGCAAACAGGAUUAGAUACCCCGGUAGUC